rnacentral:rRNA from 1 species
UGGGGAAUCUUAGACAAUGGGGGCAACCCUGAUCUAGCCAUGCCGCGUGAGUGAUGAAGGCCUUAGGGUUGUAAAGCUCUUUCAGCUGGGAAGAUAGUGACGGUACCAGCAGAAGAAGCCCCGGCUAACUCCGUGCCAGCAGCCGCGGUAAUACGGAGGGGGCUAGCGUUGUUCGGAAUUACUGGGCGUAAAGCGCACGUAGGCGGACUGGAAAGUCAGAGGUGAAAUCCCAGGGCUCAACCUUGGAACUGCCUUUGAAACUAUCAGUCUGGAGUUCGAGAGAGGUGAGUGGAAUUCCGAGUGUAGAGGUGAAAUUCGUAGAUAUUCGGAGGAACACCAGUGGCGAAGGCGGCUCACUGGCUCGAUACUGACGCUGAGGUGCGAAAGCGUGGGGAGCAAACA